GCGGUCGUGGCGGAACUGGUAGACGCGCAACGUUGAGGUCGUUGUGUCCGAAAGGACGUGGAAGUUCGAGUCUUCUCGACCGCACCA
rnacentral:tRNA from 19 species